rnacentral:lncRNA from 1 species
CUUCAGUCAGUUGCAGGCAGCCCACGGAUCAGGUGAUGUUCAGAAAAGAUGAAGAAACUGGCCCAGAGAGGUGAAACAACCCAGCCGAUGUCAUGUCGUAGCUAAGAUGACAGCUGUUGGCCUGUACCUCGGCCCUCAAGUUUCCCAUGCAAUGUGCUUCCUACUAUUCAUUGUUGCCCCGUCUCUAGGUAAGUCUUCUGUAAUUUACAUGCUUGUUGAAAGGAUCUGUUUCUGUUUUUUCCUCCUCCCAGUUUGUUGAAGCCCAUGGUUAACUGAGAAAUGCAAGUGGUGCCUAGGUUUUUCAGGGUUAUGCCUGUCACAUCCACACUGCCGCAGUGAACAAAGCCUAGAAGCCUGCGGCAAGGGAAGCGCCUCCAUUCAAUGGUGGCUGGCUGCAUCCCCAUGAGGUCCGAGGCCUGAUGGUCAGCCCAAGGGACUUUUCAUCUUGGUUCUCAAAGCUUGGUAAGAGUGAGGAUAUUUCCAUUAGAAAAUUGCCGACACUAAGGCUCAUCCAGUAACUGGUUGGCAAAGGUACACACUGCUCUGGUCAGACAAACAUAGGCACUACAGAAAAUGGUGCUGGGCCUUGAGGAAUGGGAGAGGAAAGGGAGAAGACAGCUCAGGGAACUGGGCAUGGAUCUGGGCAGAUGUUGCGGGGAUGGUUGCUGAUAUUGGAUUUGGAGGAGAAAUUGAAAGGUCACGGCUUCUAGAGCAUCUAGCUCUCUUGGGCUUAAGAUCAAAUUGUGCUAGUGAAGACAGUGCAUCUCAUAAAAUGGGAAGUAGG